rnacentral:misc_RNA from 1 species
AAAUUGUUAAAUUGAUCAAGUGUUUGGAACAAAUGACUGGCAAGAAUCCAGAUGUUUCAGAGGCGGUCACCAGUGACCUUCUGCAGGUACCACCAACUUCCUUGAGGGAAAGAGAGUUACAAUCUCAGGUCGUUCAUCUGCAGCAGAGAAUUGAUCAUCUUGUUGAGGAAUUAGAGAAGCAAAAGUUGAAAAAUGCGGAGUUUGAAAAACACAUGAUUUCUAUGGCAAAUAAAGAGAAAACAUAAAAGAAAAGCACGUAAAGCGCAAUGGUUAGAUCAUCAUGAAUCCUGAUGCCUUCGCUUCUUGAUUAUUCUUUAGCAAUUCAUGUGUGGCUGUCUCUGUCUGGAUGAUAUGAGCCAAUCGUUAUUGUAUUUGUAGUGUACUAUAAAGUGUGAUGUCAAAAGGCAGACACCGAAAAUUUUGUGAUGUUCUUUAAUGUAU